UUAUCUUAAGAACAUGGUUAACUCUCGUUAUAAAGGUUUAUUCUCAGAUGAUAUGAAUUGGUUCCAAACACCCUUCACUUUUACCACCCUUGAUCAACAAGUAUUUGAUAAUCUUAGUGCUAAUUUUGUUUAGACAAUCUAGUUUUUGCGAAGUCCGUUAUUAGGGAAGGCAUCUUGGAGUCCCUCUUAUCGGGCGAGAUCCUAAGAGAUCUAACAACCAAGACCUUAUCGACAAAGUUAAGUCCAAGCUUUCUCUUUGGAAAACAUCCGAACUUUCAUUUGCAGGGAGGGUGACUCUCUCUAAAGGCGGUUAUUGAGGAAAUUCCAAUUUACCAUAUGGUUGACUAGUGCCAUUCUUAGUGGCAUCUGCCUUGUCCAGAGAUUGUUUCCAACACACUGAUUCACGACUAGCUGAUCGCAAGCGAUCACUAAAUCAAUCCCCAAUAUAUCAGUGGUUGUCCCAGCAAAGAGGCAUGUGUUUCCCUAGAGACUGGAAGUCAACUGUCGUUUGACGAUGUCAGCCAGAUUGACCCCAAUUUUCAGUCUUCUCAGAGUCUUUUUCAGUUGUCUGGCACUUGUCAUUUUAGCUUCAUUCUUGCCUCAGGGCCUAACACCUCUUCGUCAUUGUUGACUUCCUCACUAAGCUCUGGCUAUAAGCGAGCGUAGAAGUCCCCUUAGUUUACUUUGACAACGCCUUGGGGUUUAGGUGCAACUUCUGAUAUUCUCGAGCUACUUGGCUUGUUGAUGACCUUGAGUUUUUCUUGUAUCUUUUGAUUUUUAGAUAGUUCAUAAAGCAUACCAGUUAUGCCUUGAGAUCACCAUCAAUUGUGCUACUUCAUCAUUCACAGCAUGGUAGCUCAUGUUCAGAUGAACUGACAAAGAUACUGCAACAUUCAGCGAGUGUGAGCCGGUUGAUGAUACAAUUGAAGAUCAAAUUGAAAUCAAUCACCAAGAAUGGAUUUCACGGUUUUCCUCAUUUGUUUCUUCCUAAAGGUCACCAGAAGCUCGACGUACCCCCAAGGUCGGCUAACUGUUUCUUCCUAUUAGGAUUUCAUGGCUUAGGCGUAGAUUUUUGACCUCUCUGUGAUGAGGACUGAGGAGCAUAUCUAACCGUUUCUGCGGGGGCUGAUGCCAUUCGUCGAGAUGUCGCUGCUAUUCAAGCUGAGUGGUGAUGAUGGCAGAUAUCUGCUAUUGGUUUUCCUCAAUGCAAGCAAUCCGUUGAUUGUGUUUGGCUAUCAUUUGUGAUUGUUUUUUAACCAAUGUGAUUAGGUUGUGGCGUAUAGACUCGCCUUCUAGACCACCACGUUGAUCCUUGAGCAGAGAGACGAUUGGCAAGGACGACGUUGUGGUGUCCUCAGCAAACAUAAGGGAAGAUGAACCACGACGGGACAACCUUUCUAUGUAGAACAGUACCGCGCUUUGCACCGGCCGUCUCAGAUCUAUAACAAAGGGUUUUGUGGUGAGAUUGUAGGAAUCUGUCCUCAAACGGCACCAAUGAUUCAAAAUGAAUCUAGACCAACGAUUGGAGUUGAGGUCAUGCAGCAGAGGAUGAUGGUAACUCUUCGACGGGAGUGGUGUACCUACAAGCAGUCUAAUGAUCAAUUUAGUUCACGAUCUAGUGACUGAAAGGUUUUAUGAUUAGAAGUGAAUAUACCAUUCUCCUGUGUAGGUGACCUUCAAGGUUAUAGGGUGUAAGCCAAUUGAAGGAAUCCGGUGUGAUCUAUGAAUCAACAUUUGAUCUUCAUCGCAUGGAGCUGAUAACAUCAACUGAUCCGCUAAUGUAUGCUGUCAGUGCAGUGCAGCCCCAUAGCAUGUUUCUUAUUGAUCUAGUCCGUUGACGGAAUGGGCUCAGGCCUAAUCUGGAACACUUCAGUUUGAAGACAAAAUUACUAUUAUAAUUAUAAAUAGACUAAAAAUAAUUUACCAAAUGCAUGUUUAAAUUGAUGGUGACAUUGAAAGAGAAACAAUGAAGCACCGAGAUUUUGGCAAAAGCUACAUUUUGGAGUUUCAUAAAAUCAUGUCGCUAAACUCACCGGGCACAGGUAAUUCAAACCUCUAUUAAAUAUAUGAUCAAAGUUCAUUUUCUGUUGACAAUGUAAGGUUAGCACCAAAA
rnacentral:lncRNA from 1 species